UAUAGAGGUUAUAUUGCUCGUACUUAUUUCCAGAGGUUAAAGAAAGCAACAAUUUUCGUAGUGUGUUCCAGGAAGAGAACAAUGGCUCGGAGAGAACUUCGAAAGCUUAAAAUGGCUGCCAAAGAAACAAAGGCACUUGAAGCUGCAAAAAAUAAUCUGGCAAAGAAAGUGAAAGAUUUAAUUUCGUUUCUAGAGGAAGAGAAG
rnacentral:sRNA from 1 species